AUGAACGCUGGCGGCGUGCCUAAUACAUGCAAGUCGAGCGAACAGACGAGGAGCUUGCUCCUCUGACGUUAGCGGCGGACGGGUGAGUAACACGUGGAUAACCUACCUAUAAGACUGGGAUAACUUCGGGAAACCGGAGCUAAUACCGGAUAAUAUAUUGAACCGCAUGGUUCAAUAGUGAAAGACGGUUUUGCUGUCACAUAUAGAUGGAUCCGCGCCGCAUUAGCUAGUUGGUAAGGUAACGGCUUACCAAGGCAACGAUGCGUAGCCGACCUGAGAGGGUGAUCGGCCACACUGGAACUGAGACACGGUCCAGACUCCUACGGGAGGCAGCAGUAGGGAAUCUUCCGCAAUGGGCGAAAGCCUGACGGAGCAACGCCGCGUGAGUGAUGAAGGUCUUCGGAUCGUAAAACUCUGUUAUUAGGGAAGAACAAAUGUGUAAGUAACUAUGCACGUCUUGACGGUACCUAAUCAGAAAGCCACGGCUAACUACGUG
rnacentral:rRNA from 1 species